UACGUAGGGUGCGAGCGUUAAUCGGAAUUACUGGGCGUAAAGCGUGCGCAGGCGGUUGGCCAAGUCAGCUGUGAAAGCCCCGGGCUUAACCUGGGAAUGGCCGUUGAAACUGGCGAACUGGAGUGUGGCAGAGGGGGGUGGAAUUCCGCGUGUAGCAGUGAAAUGCGUAGAGAUGCGGAGGAACACCGAUGGCGAAGGCAGCCCCCUGGGCUGACACUGACGCUCAGGCACGAAAGCGUGGGGAGCAAACAGG
rnacentral:rRNA from 1 species